CCGUGAGGGGAAUGAUGUAUUAUUAUCAUGCUCUCAAGAUGCUCGCCUUUCUGGAUUCAGCAUCAGAAGUAGACAUAAGG
rfam:Beta vulgaris subsp. vulgaris Bvchr8.sca002.con0017.1, whole genome shotgun sequence.